rnacentral:rRNA from 1 species
UCGAGGGGUAUAGGUUUUCGGACCUAGAGACCGGCGCACGGGUGCGUAACGCGUAUGCAAUCUACCUUUCACAGAGGGAUAGCCCAGAGAAAUUUGGAUUAAUACCUCAUAGUAUAACGACUCGGCAUCGAGAUGUUAUUAAAGUCACAACGGUGAAAGAUGAGCAUGCGUCCCAUUAGCUAGUUGGUAUGGUAACGGCAUACCAAGGCGACGAUGGGUAGGGGUCCUGAGAGGGAGAUCCCCCACACUGGUACUGAGACACGGACCAGACUCCUACGGGAGGCAGCAGUGAGGAAUAUUGGACAAUGGGCGCAAGCCUGAUCCAGCCAUGCCGCGUGCAGGAUGACGGUCCUAUGGAUUGUAAACUGCUUUUGCACAGGAAGAAACAACUCUACGUGUAGAGUCUUGACGGUACUGUGAGAAUAAGGAUCGGCUAACUCCGUGCCAGCAGCCGCGGUAAUACGGAGGAUCCAAGCGUUAUCCGGAAUCAUUGGGUUUAAAGGGUCCGUAGGCGGUCUUAUAAGUCAGUGGUGAAAUCUCCCCGCUCAACGGGGAAACGGCCAUUGAUACUGUAGGACUUGAAUUAUUAGGAAGUAACUAGAAUAUGUAGUGUAGCGGUGAAAUGCUUAGAGAUUACAUGGAAUACCAAUUGCGAAGGCAGGUUACUACUAAUGGAUUGACGCUGAUGGACGAAAGCGUGGGUAGCGAACAGGA